rnacentral:rRNA from 1 species
UACAGAGGGGGCAAGCGUUAUUCGGAAUUAUUGGGCGUAAAGGGCGCGUAGGCGGCCUGGCAAGUGGAAGGUGAAAUCCCUCGGCUUAACCGAGGAACUGCCCUCCAAACUGCUUGGCUUGAGUCCGGGAGAGGUGAGUGGAAUUCCCAGUGUAGCGGUGAAAUGCGUAGAGAUCUGGAGGAAUACCGAUGGCGAAGGCAGCCUUCUGGCCUAAUACUGACGCUGAGGUGCGAAAGCAUGGGGAGCAAACAGG